UACGGAGGGGGCGAGCGUUAUUCGGAAUUAUUGGGCGUAAAGGGCGCGUAGGCGGCUUGACAAGUCAAAGGUGAAAUCCCUCGGCUCAACUGAGGAACUGCCUUUGAAACUGUCUGGCUUGAGGCCGGGAGGGGGUAGCGGAAUUCCCAGUGUAGCGGUGAAAUGCGUAGAUAUCGGGAGGAACACCAGUGGCGAAGGCGGCUACCUGGACCGGUACUGACGCUGAUGCGCGAAAGCGUGGGUAGCAAACAGG
rnacentral:rRNA from 1 species